AACAAGGCGUACCUGCGGACCUGCGGAAGGAUCAUUACUGAGUGAUAGAGGGGUUUCCGGUAAACUUCUUCUUCGGAAGGGGGCUUAUAGGUUUCCUCUUUCCUUCUCUUCACCCUUUGUUAUUGUCUUAUGAGUUGCUUUGGUAGGCGGAAGUCAUUCUUUCUACCAAGGGAUCUUAUUUUCAAACCCUUUUAUCCAAUAAUUAGGAUGUCUUUUGUCUGAUUAUAACUUUUGAAUAAG
rnacentral:misc_RNA from 1 species